rnacentral:rRNA from 1 species
CCCUUGAAAUACCACCCUUUAAUGGCUGGUGUUCUAACGUAGACCCGUGAUCCGGGUUGCGGACAGUGUCUGGUGGGUAGUUUGACUGGGGCGGUCUCCUCCCAAAGAGUAACGGAGGAGCACGAAGGUUGGCUAAUCCUGGUCGGACAUCAGGAGGUUAGUGCAAUGGCAUAAGCCAGCUUGACUGCGAGCGUGACGGCGCGAGCAGGUGCGAAAGCAGGUCAUAGUGAUCCGGUGGUUCUGAAUGGAAGGGCCAUCGCUCAACGGAUAAAAGGUACUCCGGGGAUAACAGGCUGAUACCGCCCAAGAGUUCAUAUCGACGGCGGUGUUUGGCACCUCGAUGUCGGCUCAUCACAUCCUGGGGCUGAAGUAGGUCCCAAGGGUAUGGCUGUUCGCCAUUUAAAGUGGUACGCGAGCUGGGUUUAGAACGUCGUGAGACAGUUCGGUCCCUAUCUGCCGUGGGCGCUGGAGAAUUGAGGGGGGCUGCUCCUAGUACGAGAGGACCGGAGUGGACGCAUCACUGGUGUUCGGGUUGUCAUGCCAAUGGCACUGCCCGGUAGCUAAAUGCGGAAGAGAUAAGUGCUGAAAGCAUCUAAGCACGAAACUUGCCCCGAGAUGAGUUCUCCCUGAGACUUUAAGUCUCCUGAAGGAACGUUGA